rnacentral:lncRNA from 1 species
UUCUGCCCUGGAUCUUCCCUGGCAGGAAGGGCGGACCCUCUGCUGAUCUGUGGGACCGGGACUGCGAUCCCUGCAGGCGAUUCUCCAAUCCUGAUCUGAUAUUUGACUUCAAAGAUGCCCGUUAACACCUUCACUCCGCCCUUAGCUUGAGCUACAGGCUUGGUGACCAGCAGGUGAAGAGCAGGAUGACUGGAAAGAGGUGGUCAGCAAGGGAGAUCACCGGUUGUAGAGGCAGAACAUCUGAAGAUCGGUAUGCAAGAAUGGCAGGUAAUGUUGGCAGUAAGUUGGUUCAUCUUGAUAUAUUUGCUAUUUUUCUUCUCUCUCUCUCAUCCUCUGAACUGUAUUUCUCCUCUACAUGCCUAUAAUGAAAAGCAACUAAGGUUCAUAGAACCCAUGGGUCCAGAUGAAAAUGUCCCUCCAGGUGGAAGAAACACAGGAGCUUUCUGACUCAGAGCCCCGGGGAGCAAAUGGCAGGGGACCCAGAAGGUUGGAAGUUGUUCGAGUGAGAUGUGCACAGGGUCCUAGGAAGAAUGGCCUUGUCAUCAUGCUUGUCACUUACACGUUGUAUCACACACUGAGCACGCGCUCUGAAGGUCUGCUCCGUGAUGUCAUUUACGGAGGUAACUUGUUCUUGGUUUAUGCUGAAUACCUUUGCCAACAAUCUAUUCUUCUCAAUAGUCUCAUUUCCUUGCUGACAGCAGACCUGGAUGGGGUGACUCACCCACCCGGGACUCAGGUGGGCCUUCCCAGCUGGGCCAAGAACCGGCUGCACUGUCACCCUGUGAGUGAGUCUGCUCCCUGUCCCCCAACAGGCGAAGC